AUUGAACGCUGGCGGCAUGCUUUACACAUGCAAGUCGAACGGUAACAGGUUAAGCUGACGAGUGGCGAACGGGUGAGUAAUGCAUCGGAACGUGCCCGGUCGUGGGGGAUAACGCAGCGAAAGCUGCGCUAAUACCGCAUACGAUCUGAGGAUGAAAGCGGGGGACCGUAAGGCCUCGCGCGAUCGGAGCGGCCGAUGUCAGAUUAGGUAGUUGGUGGGGUAAAGGCUCACCAAGCCAACGAUCUGUAGCUGGUCUGAGAGGACGAACAGCCACACUGGGACUGAGACACGGCCCAGACUCCUACGGGAGGCAGCAGUGGGGAAUUUUGGACAAUGGGCGAAAGCCUGAUCCAGCAAUGCCGCGUGCAGGAAGAGGGCCUUCGGGUUGUAAACUGCUUUUGUACGGAGCGAAAAGGUCUCCUCUAAUACAGGGGGCUCAUGACGGUACCGUAAGAAUAAGCACCGGCUAACUACGUGCCAGCCGCCGCGGUAA
rnacentral:rRNA from 1 species